rnacentral:tRNA from 1 species
GGGGAAGUAGCUCAGUCGGUAGAGCGCCUGCUUUCGAGCAGGGAGACACAGGUUCGACUCCUGCCUUCUCCACGA